rnacentral:rRNA from 1 species
UACGUAGGGUGCAAGCGUUGUCCGGAAUUAUUGGGCGUAAAGGGUCCGCAGGUGGCAAUGUAAGUCUGCUGUCAAAGAAUGAGGCUUAACCUCAUCAAGGCAGUGGAAACUACAUAGCUAGAGUACGGUCGGGGUAGAAGGAAUUCCUGGUGUAGCGGUGAAAUGCGUAGAGAUCAGGAAGAACACCGGUGGCGAAAGCGUUCUGCUAGACCUGUACUGACACUGAGGGACGAAAGCUAGGGGAGCGAAUGGG